rnacentral:lncRNA from 1 species
UGUCCUUCUGAUGCGGUACGAGCACAGGCACUUGUUUCUAUCCCUAGGAAGGUCGAUUAUCCAUAUAAAUAGUUUUAUAUGGAUAGUCGACCUUCCUAUGGAUAGAAACAAGUGCAUGUGGGUUCGAGAUAACUACAAUUCUCAUGCAAUCCCGAAAAAGGGGGUCAUCACAGACGAACAUGACAUUAAAUCGUUAUCACUGAACUAGUAUAUAUAUUGUAUAGGGGCCAGCUGAAGGACGCCUCCG